AAAGAGGAAUCAAUUCAAGCAAAGCAGUUAUGACCAUUUUGCACAACAAAAGCACAAACAAACCAAACUCAAAAGUAAAACAAGGAAUACAGAAGAAACUAAAUAGGACUGUGGACUAAUUUUGACAGAAUUCAAUGGUAAACACUGAGAUAGGAUGCCACAGGAUGCUAAGGGGUCUUCCCUCUAACAUGCAGAUGAGAGGAGGCAAGAAUGCUAUUCAAUUUAAAAAUCACUUCAGAAGCCACAUAAGUUUGUCUGUUAGAUGCUUAAAUGCUGAUGUCUCUACUUUCACUAUAUUUAGCAUACACUUCUAGCAAAUUACAUUGCCACGUUCUUCUUCACCUUUGGACCACUUUUGGGAAGUUGCCUGAGGACCUCUAUUGCAUGUGGCAGUCUGAGAUUGGCACUGGCCUUACACAGGCAGCUCAGCAGCACCCAAAUCCUCAUCAUUGCUGCCAAACAAGACUUCAAACAGGCCUCAGCAUGUGUUGUGGGUCCUAAGAUGAGAAGACACAGGAAAGAGCUCACUUUGGACCAAAUGAGGAAACAGUGG
ensembl:lncRNA